rnacentral:rRNA from 1 species
UGCGUUUUAAUUUUUGACUCUAUUUGUUGUGGUGCUAUGAGUUUUUAGUUUGUUUUUAUGUUGUUUUUUGUAAAAUAUUUUGAUUUUUUUUUAGUUUCUUGUGGUAUCAAAAAUUUGUUUUUUGAACUGGAUUAGUACCCAGGUAAUCAAAAUUUAAUAAUUCGGGAGUAAAGUUUUGUUUAAACCGAAAAAAUAUUGACUGACUUUAGAUUUUUCUUUGGAACAUGUGAUUUGCUGGAGAGCCCUCUUUUUUGGUGAAUUUUGUUGGCACAUGUAUGAUUGUUUAGUUUUUAUUUUAUUUUGUAAUGCUUUGUUGUUUUGGCAUUAAAAACAGAUAUAUAUUUGGCUUAUGAAUUUAUGUUUCAUGUGUUACUAUUAUGAAUUUUUUUUGGAUUAGUUUUUUAUUUUUUUUUGAAAUUGGAAAAGAAAGUAAUUUUUUUUUAAUGUUUUAAUGAAUUUAAUAAAUAAGG